AGUCGACGAUUAACUUUCCUUCGGGAAAGAUAUAAAGUGGCGCACGGGUGAGUAACACGUAGGUAAUGUACCGUAGGGUGGGGAAUAACUUAGGGAAACUUAAGCUAAUACCGCAUAAUGCAGCGGCUCGACAUCGAGACAGUUGUUAAAGGAGCAAUCCGCCUUAUGAGCAGCCUGCGGCAGAUUAGCUAGUUGGUAAGGUAAUAGCUUACCAAGGCUACGAUCUGUAACCGACCUGAGAGGGUGGUCGGUCACACUGACACUGAAUAACGGGUCAGACUCCUACGGGAGGCAGCAGUCGGGAAUUUUGGGCAAUGGGCGAAAGCCUGACCCAGCAACGCCGCGUGAAGGAUGAAGUCUUUCGGGAUGUAAACUUCGUAAGAAUAGGAAGAAUAAAUGACGGUACUAUUUGUAAGGUCCGGCUAACUACGUGCCAGCAGCCGCGGUAAUACGUAGGGACCAAGCGUUGUUCGGAUUUACUGGGCGUAAAGGGCGCGUAGGCGGCGUGGUAAGUCAGCUGUGAAAUCUCCGAGCUUAACUCGGAACGGUCAGCUGAUACUGCUGUGCUAGAGUACAGAAGGGGCAAUCGGAAUUCUUGGUGUAGCGGUGAAAUGCGUAGAUAUCAAGAGGAACACCUGAGGUGAAGACGGGUUGCUGGGCUGAUACUGACGCUGAGGCGCGAAAGCUAGGGUAGCAAACGGGAUUAGAUACCCCGGUAGUCCUAGCCCUAAACGAUGAAUACUUGGUGUCUGGAGUUUUAAUUCUCCGGGUGCCGUCGCUAACGUUUUUAGUAUUCCGCCUGGGGAGUACGCACGCAAGUGUGAAACUCA
rnacentral:rRNA from 1 species